GCCCGGAUAGCUCAGUCGGUAGAGCAGGGGAUUGAAAAUCCCCGUGUCCUUGGUUCGAUUCCGAUUCCGGGCACCA
rnacentral:tRNA from 1 species